GAUGAAGAACGUAGCAAAAUGCGAUAAGUAAUGUGAAUUGCAGAAUUCAGUGAAUCAUCGAAUCUUUGAACGCACAUUGCGCCCGCCAGUAUUCUGGCGGGCAUGCCUGUUCGAGCGUCAUUUCAACCCUCAAGCACAGCUUGGUGUUGGGACUCGCGUUAAUUCGCGUUCCUCAAAUUGAUUGGCGGUCACGUCGAGCUUCCAUAGCGUAGUAGUAAAACCCUCGUUACUGGUAAUCGUCGCGGCCACGCCGUUAAACCCCAACUUCUGAAUGUUGACCUCGGAUCAAGUAGGAAUACCCGCUGAACUUAAGCAUAUCAAUAAGCGGAGGA
rnacentral:misc_RNA from 1 species